GGUUCUCAGAAGUCCCUGCACUUGAGGCAUCUUUGAUAUAAUCCAGGUGCUUUGACACUGCUGUUUUUCUGUCCAUUCUGAAAAUGGACUUAAUAGAACUGAUGUGCUGGGCUGGGCCAUCAGACUGAGGUAAAGAGCUCCUAACCCGCCUCUAUGAUCAGAGGUUUUGAAUCUUCAUUUCAAUAGUGUGUGCUUUAGCACCCAGCCCAGGUAGGGCCUUGUAUGGAUAUCUAAAUGCUGGUUUAAAGCACAGGUAGCAACUGUUUUAAGAACUUUGAAGGUCUAACAGGAUGUCUGCAUUGAUUUAAUAUCUAUUAAAAUUCAAAGGAGGAUACCCUUUGGGGGAAGGAGGAGAAGGAAAUAAAAAAUUCAUUUCUCCCUAAUCCCAAAACUGAGUUAAAUUACUGUGGUAGGAGAGGAAGGGUUGUAGGAAGCCUAGUCCUGGGAGAACCCUGAACCUCACAUAUUCCCCAGUAUGUUGGCCUGAUGCAGAAUUGGGAAUUGGAGCCUGCCGGGGCUGCUCCAUAGAGUAAGAAAGAGAUCCAACUUUGAGUUACAGUUAGCACCUUCAUUUAAGAACUCAAAGAAAUGACUUUCAAACUCAAAAAUGCAUGAAAGGCCUCUGAAGUGUUUAUUUAAAAUGCAAAGACUCUGAAAUUUCUUCUGCCCCCUUCACGCAAGUCUAUGGAAAAAACAGAAUGAACUUUUUGGCCAACCCUAUUAUAUGACAUAGGCCGGGAUUCUGUAUUUUUAACAGGCAAACUAGGUGAUUUUAAUGCAGGUAGUUCAGAAUCCAGCCUUUGAAAAAACAAAUUCAUAUCUAAAAAAGUAAGAAAUACAUGGAUUGUAGACUCUAAUGGCACCAGUUUUGCAGAGUUCACCAAAGUUCAUGUUUGGGUUCCUGUGCACAAUCACCCCGUAAUGAACUGAGCUAUGCUUCCCUCUCAAGACUAUCCACACUGCAGCAAUCGUAACCUGAUUGUCACAUCCUCUAUUCACAAAACAGGAGAU
ensembl:lncRNA